rnacentral:rRNA from 1 species
GCUAGCAGCCAUAUCACCCUGUAACUCACAACUGCCAACCCACUGAACCUAAGCAGGGUUGAGCCUGGUCAGUACCUGGAGGGGAGACUCAUGGGAAAGCUGAGGCUGCUGCUGGAA